AUGCUAAUGAUGUUUAAUUUUGACAAAAAAGAAAUUCAGACUCUGAACUCCAUGAAUUAUCAUUGCGACAAGACCAAGGAAGAUUCUCUUUUUUGCAUUGACGAAGCUGUCAAGAAAGGGUUGAUAUCACCAGCUAAUAACAUUAAUUUUGCCAAAUGGACCAAAAAACGCUAUGAGAACAUACCACAACAGACCGAUGGGACUUCCUGUGCGGUUUGGACACUGCAGUACAUGUUGUCAUGGAACGGGGAUGAAACGACCGAUAUUUUGAACCAGAAGGAGGUGUACGAUGCCCAGCAAGCAGUUCUACCUGAUGCUUCAGAAGAGGACGUACAAUUAGUCAACAAUCCCGAUGGUUCCAACGAACCUGACACAUCCAACUCCCAGAAGGAUACCGGUGCAGCCAACUCCCCCAAAAAUGGUGCACCCAACUCCCCCAAAAGGAAGAGAGCACGUGGACGCCCGAGAAAGCUAGUCGAUCCCGAGUAG
rnacentral:rRNA from 1 species